AGCGAACGCUGGCGGCAGGCUUAACACAUGCAAGUCGAGCGGGCAUAGCAAUAUGUCAGCGGCAGACGGGUGAGUAACGCGUGGGAACGUACCUUUUGGUUCGGAACAACACAGGGAAACUUGUGCUAAUACCGGAUAAGCCCUUACGGGGAAAGAUUUAUCGCCGAAAGAUCGGCCCGCGUCUGAUUAGCUAGUUGGUGAGGUAAUGGCUAACCAAGGCGACGAUCAGUAGCUGGUCUGAGAGGAUGAUCAGCCACGGUGGGACUGAGACACGGCCCAAACUCCUGCGGGAGGCAGCAGUGGGGAAUAUUGGACAAUGGGCGCAAGCCUGAUCCAGCCAUGCCGCGUGAGUGAUGAAGGCCCUAGGGUUGUAAAGCUCUUUUAUCCGGGACGAUAAUGACGGUACCGGAGGAAUAAGCCCCGGCUAACUUCGUGCCAGCAGCCGCGGUAA
rnacentral:rRNA from 1 species